GCGAUUUGCCAUGCGAUUUUGCACGCCUGUACUAGGUACAGCGUUAAUUUCAGAGGGAGUGUGGUUAACACUCAGCUCUGUCAUGCAAUUUAACAUGCGAUUUUGCACGACUGUACACAUAGGUACAGCGUUAAUUUCAUGCGUUGCGUCAUGCAUCAUGCAAUUUACCAUGCGAUUUGACAUGCGAUUUGACAUGCCGUUUGACAUGCAGUUUUGCACCACCGUACAUAUAGGUACAGCGUUAGUUACAGAGGGAGUCUGGUUAACACUCAGCUCUGAAACAAUUGGUGCAAUAGAUCCUGGUUCAGCUAACCCAUCUGCUGUGCUAGACUCUGUUCUAGACUCUGCAACGUAGACUAUCAUGUUGCUAGCAGGUUUACUAAACUCCUGCAGCCCAGCGUGCUGUGAGUGGAUGAGUCACGCCUGACUAAGACAUCUGUCUAUGUUUUUUGACAUAAUUGAGGCGCCUAACCCAGUAGGGUGUAGGCCGUCUCUCAUGAGCACACCAGGGCGACCCCACAGGGAGGGCCAGUUAUCUAUGAAACCAAAGCCCUGCUCUGAGCUAUAUAGGGCCAGCCAGCGAUUUAGAGACAAUAAUCUACUAUAACGCUCAUCAUUACCCUUAUCGGGUAGAGGGCCUGAGAGAAUGAAUUGAUGCCGACACAUCUUUCUGGCGAAGUCACAAAGCCUAGCUAUGUUGCUUUUUGUGACCUCAGUUUGUCUUGCCCUAGCAUCGUUGGUGCCGACAUGAACUACAAUGUUGUCGAAGCUAAUGUCGGGUUCAUUCUAUUCUCUGGGGAAGAGGGGGGGGGGGGGUCUUUAUGAGGGGGGGUCUUUAUGAGGGGGGGUGGGAGAUAGGGACUAAAGGAUGGGGAAGGAAUUUAAGGGGUGAGGGAGGGCCUAUCUUUAGACAGGCAGGCAGACAGAGAGAAAGAGCGAGGAAUUGGGAGUUACAAGAUUGUACAACGUUAAUUACUUUUCAAUAUUUCAUAUUGAAACUGUGGAACAACCUUCCUGGUUGCCCAAAAGCAAUAUGUCUGUACAAACAAAGUGGAUUUACAGAUUUAUCACAUGUAUACAUAAAUAUUGUUCUCCCAUAGAUGUUGAAUUCUAUUAGUUACAAAACUAUAGCCAAAAUAUUAUGCGUCAGAAACUAUUGCUUUACCGAUGGUUUUCAACUUAAUGCUAUGGAUUUAUUGAUUCGUAGAGGAUGAGGGCACUUAAUGAGCGUGCGGAAACUGUAGUUAUGAACUAGAUAUUGAUAUUUAAAUCAAAAUCAAACUAAAUACCUCAAAUAUUGGAAUGAAAUAUACAAUAUAAUACUUCCAGCUAUUGACUAGUGAAAUGUGACAAUUAUAUACCAUUGGCUGAAUAAGUAACUGCCAAAACAUUGUUAUCAUUUGAAACAGAUGGAUUUUUAAGGGAAUAUUUUAUGGAGAGAGAACAUAUUUCUAGAGACAGACAGACAGACAGACAGAGCACACCGGGGGUCCCUUUGUGCAGGCUACCAUUGCCUUAUCAAAACACCCAGGUCAAAAAUGACACUUGUUGCCUUCAAUAAGUGUGUGCUUGGAGAGAGAUAGAACAUAUCUCUAGAGAGAAGGAGCGAGAUCUGCUAUUGUCCAGGUCAGAGGUCAUGCAGUCUUAACAAAAGACUGACCAUUCAGACCCUACUGACUUGAGAGAGAGAGAGAGAGAGAGAGAGAGAGAGAGAGAGAGAGAGAGAGAGAGAGAGAGAGAGAGAGAGAGCGAGAGCGAGAGAGAGAGAGGAUGUAACACUUAAGUUGAGGCCCCCUGUUGCUCUUGAGCAAUGGCGUUUGUUUCAGAAAGGGCUCUGACUACAAAGACUGUGGAGGUACGAACAAAGGAAACGCACGUUUCCAAGACGCGUUGUCCCUUUAAAUCGUACACCACGUGGUACAUCCAAAAUGCUGCAGAAACAAACUAGUUCUGGAUCUCUAUAAGAAGUAUGAGAUUCCUGCAAGUUUGUCCCCACGGCGGGUUAGCGAGGCACUUGAUAGCAGAUGGGUUGUACUGCGUAAGUCUACCUCUACGGCUGCGUUCUAUACUAACCAAAAUUGCACAUUAGAUGUUACAUGAACCGGGCUGUGAGGAAUCAAUUAGAUUUGAACUCCUUGGCUAACGACGGCCAAGCCUCCGGUUCAAUAUGCAACUUAAGCUAGAUUAACGUUAAAAACCUGACCUUUCCUCGCUCCGCCGUAAGAGUUUAGAAGUUUAUGGUCGGUAAUAAAUAUACCUUAUGGUGGCCCGGCUGAACUCGAAGCUUAUCACCAAAUAAAUAACACUUAACCACAGGUAGUACGUCUCCCACGUUGGUACAAACAUUUAGAUCUAAUCAGGAUUGGAUACAGUCUAUCUACAAACCCAUAUAAAACACACUCCCAGCCCUUUACUUCGUGAGCUCGUUAUUCAAUUUCAAUCUGUUAGCGUAUCCUAGGCCGUUCGUCUAACCGGCUGUAUGAAUUUAAACCAGUCCGAGAUUACACGUCCCCGCAACCAGUCGAAGGCAGUACAAGCUAUUCACCUAAUGUUACUAAUCUAACUAUACAGAGUUUAGUCAUUGACAACAGGUUCUGUUUACCUUUCUUGUGGCGCCUGUAAGUAGCUUGUACUGCUCCCGACGGCCCCGCGGUCGCAAGUCUCGGUCCGGAACUUUCCAAUCACGUCGGGGUCACCAAAUUGCAAUGUUCUUCUUGGAAAGAGGGGUCGAAUCCAAAGGAAUAGCUUUAACGAGACUUUAUUUGUAUAAAGUAUUUUCGGUAUGGUAAACUGAUGCUCUGAAGUAAAGAGAGAUUGGAGAUGUGCCUUAGCACGUGCGAGAGUGUUCUCCUAGCUGAUCCUAGCCACAAACCCACGUAUGGUAAUCGCUGCCGGGAGAGUUCUAAUGUUUUCAUGGCCAGGUGGGCUUCUUUAUGGACUCAGCGAGGACCGGAAGACUUGGAGAGGAACCGGUGUGACGUAAUCCUCGGUUUUCCUCGCCUGGUCUGUGAUGCUGCCCUCUGUGGCUAAAGUAUCUAUUGCAGCCUUCAGUAAUGUCCUGCUUUCCCUUGUGGCUAUGUGUAGUAUUUACGGCUUAUAUAUUUGGUCCUACCCCCUAUUGGUUAAGUGAGGGAAAUACAGCUUGUGUUCCUAAAAUACGUAACACGACCAAAAGCUAUGUGCGCCUCGGAUGAUAUUAUGAAUAAUAAAGACUGUGUCUGACGUCUCUGGUACUUCCACAAAUAAAGACUCGAAGUAGGGGAUAUCUCGGCCAUGGUUGAGAAGAAUUGGGGGGAAGGAACUUUGGCAUUGACUCUCUGAAGUCCAUGAACCGCGACAUGGAGAAGAAAAGGAUUGUACUCCGGGAGUUGAGCAGCCGGACUGCCUCCGAGCUCCCCGCGCCGGAGCUGCAGGUGUAGCACCCGAUUUGGUUCCCCAUUGGAAAUGCUGUUCCCCCUCGAAACGCCAUGUUAAAUGACUCCGCCCACAGGACCAGCCAGAACAACUGGAUCCACGGAAAGCCAAGUGGUACAAAAUGAUUGACGAUUUGCGUGAGAUGGAAUGCGAAA
ensembl:lncRNA